rnacentral:tRNA from 1 species
GCGGCAAUAGCUCAGUGGUAGAGCCCCGCUUCGCGUGCGGGGAGACCCGGGUUCGAUUUCCGGCUGCUUCC